AUGUCCAGGUACAGGUCGUCCUGCUGCUCCAGGCGGUGCAGCUCCUGCGGCGUGGAGCUGCGGCUCUUCUUCACGCCGGGAGAGGAGGACGAGCUGCGGCGUGAGCAGGGGGGCGCGGUGGCCCAAGCCGAGCGCCGCUCGCUCUUACGCUUCAUGGAGGCGGUCGCGGCCCGUCAGGGGACCGCGACCAUGGCCCGGCAACCCGGCCCGGGUCCUCGCGCUGCGUCUCCCGCCGCCCGCGACCCGGGGGCCCCACAGCGCUGGCCGGUGGCUGGAGCAAAGCGCGCGCUCCCUGGGACGCUGCUGCCGUGGCGUCCGAGCUCAGCGGGCCGCGGCUCCCGGGGACCCCCAGGAGGGAUGUUCCGUGGAGCUUCAUUCACAAAAAGAAGGGCCCACAACCCUCCUCGGGGCCUACCGGCUCGGGCCGCUCAUUGGUCAGUGCGGCGUGACGUCACGCAACUGGAGCCUUCCUACAGGUGUUGACGCCUCAGUCCCCAGUUCCUCGAGUGAGUCUCCGAGUUCCUGCACAACCCUACCCUAAUAACUCCACUUCGGAUCUUUGAGAUGGAAUUUUUUUCUUUUUUAAGUGUUUCUUGGGUCUCCCCUGUAAUUCGCGCCAAGGGAGCCUUGUCAUGGCCGCCUGCUAGGAGAGUGUGUAGGCUGCUGAAACGGUCCGCAGCUCUGUGGACGCAAGGCAGAGUGGACCUCAGAACUUAGAAGUUCAGACCAGCGCCGUUUUCCCACCUAUCCGAUCGGAUCGGGGCGAUAAGGGCUUCCUAGCGUCGGUGAAACCACCUGGAGAUGCGAUUUACCGCGGUGGUUUGAACCUUCCGACACCUCACCUCGGAACCCAGGAGCGCGCUAGCUCUUGCUGUGGGUAGCCGAGGUGGCCACGGUCCGACUUAGCACGAAGUGUUGGAGCAUGUGGCCAGCUGAGCAAACGGCCUUUUCUCCUUUGGGUCUGCAGUGGUACCGCCCCAUAUUUUGCUACUGGGUUAAAAAGAUAUCAGAUCUUUCUGGAACUUGACCAUAGCUGCCAUUUUGAAGAGCCCAGCUUCACGGUAGCAUCUACUUGGGCGAGGAGACUGGAAGCAGUCGGUAGUCCCAAAGUCCCCAUCGGCAGGCCUGUAGUCAACAGCGAUUUAGUCUGAAAGGGAAGUCAAGAGUCAGAGGGAUAAAUUUACCUCCUCCCCUCCCCCAAAGAACCUCUCAGAAAUGCAGAUUUCACGAAGUUCCUUCCCCUAGGGAAGGCUUCUUUUGUUUUGAAGCCCUACCUUAAGCCUGCUGCUUCGGAAAAGAUAAGAUACGGGACUGGCUUUCUUUAGCCAGGGGCCCUUAAGAACCUGCUUGUUCACCUUUCGGGUUUCCAUUGGACAUCAACGAAGGCCUUACAUUUAAAAUGUCUGUAGUGUUAGCAAAAACUUUUGCCCAGGAAGAGAAAGUCCUUCACGCGGUUCCAAGGACUUUUGUAUACUACUAUACA
rnacentral:lncRNA from 1 species